rnacentral:rRNA from 1 species
GACGAACGCUGGCGGCGUGCUUAACACAUGCCAGUCGAACGGAAAGACCCUGCUUUUGUGGGGUGCUCGAGUGGCGAACGGGUGAGUAACACGUGAGUAACCUGCCCUUGACUUUGGGAUAACUUCAGGAAACUGGGGCUAAUACCGGAUAGGAGCUCCUGCUGCAUGGUGGGGGUUGGAAAGUUUCGGCGGUUGGGGAUGGACUCGCGGCUUAUCAGCUUGUUGGUGGGGUAGUGGCUUACCAAGGCUUUGACGGGUAGCCGGCCUGAGAGGGUGACCGGCCACAUUGGGACUGAGAUACGGCCCAGACUGCUACGGGAGGCAGCAGUGGGGAAUAUUGCACAAUGGGCGGAAGCCUGAUGCAGCAACGCCGCGUGCGGGAUGACGGCCUUCGGGUUGUAAACCGCUUUCGCCUGUGACGAAGCGUGAGUGACGGUAAUGGGUAAAGAAGCACCGGCUAACUACGUG